rfam:Ailuropoda melanoleuca scaffold868_38, whole genome shotgun sequence.
GCCUGGCUGGCUCAGUCGGUAGAGCAUGAACUCUGGAUCUCAGGGUUGUGAGUUCAAGCCCCACGUUGAGUG